rnacentral:rRNA from 1 species
UCCAGACUCCUACGGGAGGCAGCAGUGAGGAAUAUUGGUCAAUGGGCGAGAGCCUGAACCAGCCAAGUCGCGUGAGGGAGUACUGCCCUAUGGGUUGUAAACCUCUUUUGUCGGGGAGCAAAAGCCGGACGUGUCCGGCUGUGAGAGUACCCGAAGAAAAAGCAUCGGCUAACUCCGUGCCAGCAGCCGCGGUAAUACGGAGGAUGCGAGCGUUAUCCGGAUUUAUUGGGUUUAAAGGGUGCGCAGGCGGAUUUUUAAGUCAGCGGUCAAAUCGUGGGGCUCAACCCCAUCCAGCCGUUGAAACUGGCUUGCUAGAGUGGGCGAGAAGUAUGCGGAAUGCGUGGUGUAGCGGUGAAAUGCGUAGAUAUCACGCAGAACUCCGAUUGCGAAGGCAGCAUACCGGCGCCCAACUGACGCUCAGGCACGAAAGCGUGGGUAUCGAACAGGAUUAGAUACCCUAGUA